rnacentral:tRNA from 3 species
GGGCGAUUAGCUCAAUUGGCUAGAGCACCUCGCUUACACCGAGGGGGUUUGAGGUUCGAGUCCUUAAUCGCCCA